CACGUAGGGCGCAAGCGUUGUCCGGAAUUAUUGGGCGUAAAGAGCUCGUAGGCGGUCUGUUACGUCUGCUGUGAAAACCCGGGGCUUAACCCUGGGCUUGCAGUGGAUACGGGCAGACUAGAGGCAGGUAGGGGAGAAUGGAAUUCCCGGUGUAGCGGUGAAAUGCGCAGAUAUCGGGAGGAACACCGGUGGCGAAGGCGGUUCUCUGGGCCUGACCUGACGCUGAGGAGCGAAAGCGUGGGGAGCGAACAGGAUU
rnacentral:rRNA from 1 species